rnacentral:rRNA from 1 species
GAAACUCCGGGGAGGGAAUCAACAGGGCUUGCCUCAGUAACGGCGAGUGAAGCGGCAAAAGCUCAAAUUUUAAAGCUGACAUCUUCGGUGUCCGCGUUGUAAUUUUGUGAGGCAUCUCCGGGUAGGGCGCCGGCCUAAGUUCCUUGGAACAGGACGUCACAGAGGGUGAGAAUCCCGUGCUUGGCUGGCUGUCCCCGUCCAUGUGAGGUGUCUUCGACGAGUCGAGUUGUUUGGGAAUGCAGCUCAAAAUGGGUGGUAAAUUUCAUCUAAAGCUAAAUAUUGGUGGGAGACCGAUAGCGCACAAGUAGAGUGAUCGAAAGAUGAAAAGCACUUUGAAAAUAGAGUUAAAAAGUACGUGAAAUUGUUGAAAGGGAAGCGCUUGAGAUCAGACUUCGGUAAGGGGUGAUCAGCCGUCCUUCUGGGCGGUGCACUUGCCCCCCUCCGGGCCAGCAUCGGUUGAGGCGGCGGGAUAAAGGUCCCGGGAAUGUGGCUCCUUCACGGGAGUGUUAUAGCCCGGGUGAAUGCCGCCAGCUUCGACCGAGGACCGCACCCGCAAGGGUUAGGAUGCUUGGCAUAAUGGUCUUCAGCGACCCGUCUUGAAACACGGACCAAGGAGUCUAACAUCUAUGCGAGUGUUUGGGUGUCAAACCCUUGCGCGAAAUGAAAGUGAACGGAGGUGGGAACCCGCAAGGGUGCACCAUCGACCGGUCCCGAAGUCUUCUGAAGGAUCUGAGUAGGAGCAUAGCUGUUGGGACCCGAAAGAUGGUGAACUAUGCCUGAAUAGGGUGAAGCCAGAGGAAACUCUGGUGGAGGCUCGCAGCGGUUCUGACGUGCAAAUCGAUCGUCAAAUUUGGGUAUAGGGGCGAAAGACUAAUCGUAUCCUUGCCAUUACAUU